rnacentral:rRNA from 1 species
AUUCCGGAGAGGGAGCCUGAGAAACGGCUACCACAUCCAAGGAAGGCAGCAGGCGCGCAAAUUACCCAAUCCCGAUACGGGGAGGUAGUGACAAUAAAUAACAAUACAGGGCUCUUAUGGGUCUUGUAAUUGGAAUGAGUACAAUUUAAAUCCCUUAACGAGGAACAAUUGGAGGGCAAGUCUGGUGCCAGCAGCCGCGGUAAUUCCAGCUCCAAUAGCGUAUAUUAAAGUUGUUGCAGUUAAAAAGCUCGUAGUUGAAUUUCGGGGUUCUACCGUUGGUCGGGCAAUAGUCUGUACUGGCGUGUGGAAUUUCUACCUUCUGGGGAACCAUCAUGUUAUUUAUUUAGCGUGGUGGGAAACCAGGACCUUUACCUUGAAAAAAUUAGAGUGUUCAAAGCAGGCUUACGUCUGAAUACAUUAGCAUGGAAUAAUAAAAUAGGACGGUGGUCCUGUUUUGUUGGUUUCUGAAUCACCGUAAUGAUUAAUAGGGAUAGUUGGGGGCAUUAGUAUUCAAUUGUCAGAGGUGAAAUUCUUGGAUUUAUUGAAGACUAACUUCUGCGAAAGCAUUUGCCAAGGAUGUUUUCAUUAAUCAAGAACGAAAGUUAGGGGAUCGAAGACGAUCAGAUACCGUCGUAGUCUUAACCAUAAACUAUGCCGACUAGGGAUCGGACG